AAUCCUGUGGCGAGUGGAUUCAGUCUGGAGCGGGRGACGCUCCCGGAGGAAGUCMAGGYAGGGCUUCCCUCGAUCGGGGCCGUCUUCCGGGGCGACUUCUCUCGUUCCAGACGCAUUUGUCUCUCGUCCGAAGGACGCUGCAGCCGGUUUGGAAGUGCAAGCGCGACGGCCUGAAGGUGGGGAAACGGCAGGKGGCCGGSGGUUCSCCYCGUGCGGAUUGUCGGUUGUUAGCCYUCCCC
rnacentral:rRNA from 1 species